rnacentral:rRNA from 1 species
GACCGAGGGUGCAAGCGUUGUUCGGAAUUACUGGGCGUAAAGCGCGCGUAGGCGGCUUUGUAAGUUAGACGUGAAAGCCCGGGGCUCAACCCCGGAAUUGCCUUUAAGACUGCAUCGCUUGAAUCCGGGAGAGGUGAGUGGAAUUCCGAGUGUAGAGGUGAAAUUCGUAGAUAUUCGGAAGAACACCAGUGGCGAAGGCGGCUCACUGGACCGGCAUUGACGCUGAGGUGCGAAAGCGUGGGGAGCAAACAGG